rnacentral:rRNA from 1 species
UGCCCAAGAGAUCGGGAUAACACCUGGAAACAGAUGCUAAUACCGGAUAAUAACAGAUGAUGCCUAUCAACUGUUUAAAAGAUGGUUCUGCUAUCACUCUUGGAUGGACCUGCGGUGCAUUAGCUAGUUGGUAGGGUAACGGCCUACCAAGGCGAUGAUGCAUAGCCAGUUGAGAGACUGAUCGGCCACAUUGGGACUGAGACACGGCCCAAACUCCUACGGGAGGCAGCAGCG